UACGUAGGUGGCAAGCGUUGUCCGGAAUUACUGGGUGUAAAGGGAGCGUAGGCGGGAAUGCAGGUUGGGUGUAUAACCUAUGGGCUCAACCCAUAGUCGCACUCAAAACCGCAUUUCUUGAGUGGAGUAGAGGCAGAUGGAAUUCCUAGUGUAGCGGUGGAAUGCGUAGAUAUUAGGAGGAACACCAGUGGCGAAGGCGGUCUGCUGGGCUUUAACUGACGCUGAGGCUCGAAAGCGUGGGGAGCAAACAGG
rnacentral:rRNA from 1 species